rnacentral:rRNA from 1 species
GACGAACGCUGGCGGCGUGCCUAAUACAUGCAAGUAGAACGCUGAAGAGAGGAGCUUGCUCUUCUUGGAUGAGUUGCGAACGGGUGAGUAACGCGUAGGUAACCUGCCUUGUAGCGGGGGAUAACUAUUGGAAACGAUAGCUAAUACCGCAUAACAAUGGAUGACCCAUGUCAUUUAUUUGAAAGGGGCAAAUGCUCCACUACAAGAUGGACCUGCGUUGUAUUAGCUAGUGGGUGAGGUAACGGCUCACCUAGGCGACGAUACAUAGCCGACCUGAGAGGGUGAUCGGCCACACUGGGACUGAGACACGGCCCAGACUCCUACGGGAGGCAGCAGUAGGGAAUCUUCGGCAAUGGGGGCAACCCUGACCGAGCAACGCCGCGUGAGUGAAGAAGGUUUUCGGAUCGUAAAGCUCUGUUGUAAGUCAAGAACGAGUGUGAGAGUGGAAAGUUCACACUGUGACGGUAGCUUACCAGAAAGGGACGGCUAACUACGUGCCAGCAGCCGCGGUAAUACGUAGGUCCCGAGCGUUGUCCGGAUUUAUUGGGCGUAAAGCGAGCGCAGGCGGUUUGAUAAGUCUGAAGUUAAAGGCUGUGGCUCAACCAUAGUUCGCUUUGGAAACUGUCAAACUUGAGUGCAGAAGGGGAGAGUGGAAUUCCAUGUGUAGCGGUGAAAUGCGUAGAUAUAUGGAGGAACACCGGUGGCGAAAGCGGCUCUCUGGUCUGUAACUGACGCUGAGGCUCGAAAGCGUGGGGAGCGAACAGGAUUAGAUACCCUGGUAGUCCACGCCGUAAACGAUGAGUGCUAGGUGUUGGAUCCUUUCCGGGAUUCAGUGCCGCAGCUAACGCAUUAAGCACUCCGCCUGGGGAGUACGACCGCAAGGUUGAAACUCAAAGGAAUUGACGGGGGCCCGCACAAGCGGUGGAGCAUGUGGUUUAAUUCGAAGCAACGCGAAGAACCUUACCAGGUCUUGACAUCCCGAUGCUAUUUCUAGAGAUAGAAAGUUACUUCGGUACAUCGGUGACAGGUGGUGCAUGGUUGUCGUCAGCUCGUGUCGUGAGAUGUUGGGUUAAGUCCCGCAACGAGCGCAACCCCUAUUGUUAGUUGCCAUCAUUCAGUUGGGCACUCUAGCGAGACUGCCGGUAAUAAACCGGAGGAAGGUGGGGAUGACGUCAAAUCAUCAUGCCCCUUAUGACCUGGGCUACACACGUGCUACAAUGGUUGGUACAACGAGUUGCGAGUCGGUGACGGCAAGCUAAUCUCUUAAAGCCAAUCUCAGUUCGGAUUGUAGGCUGCAACUCGCCUACAUGAAGUCGGAAUCGCUAGUAAUCGCGGAUCAGCACGCCGCGGUGAAUACGUUCCCGGGCCU